GAUGAACGCUGGCGGCGUGCCUAAUACAUGCAAGUCGAGCGAAUGGAUUAAGAGCUUGCUCUUAUGAAGUUAGCGGCGGACGGGUGAGUAACACGUGGGUAACCUGCCCAUAAGACUGGGAUAACUCCGGGAAUCCGGGGCUAAUACCGGAUAACAUUUUGAACCGCAUGGUUCGAAAUUGAAAGGCGGCUUCGGCUGUCACUUAUGGAUGGACCCGCGUCGCAUUAGCUAGUUGGUGAGGUAACGGAUCACCAAGGCAACGAUGCGUAGCCGACCUGAGAGGGGGAUCGGCCACACUGGGACUGAGACACGGCCCAGACUCCUUCGGGAGGCAGCAGUAGGGAAUCUUCCGCAAUGGACGAAAGUCUGACGGAGCAACGCCGCGUGAGUGAUGGAGGCUUUCGGGUCGUAAAACUCUGUUGUUAGGGAAGAACAAGUGCUAGUUGAAUAAGCUGGCACCUUGACGGUACCUAACCAGAAAGCCACGGCUAACUACGUGCCAGCCGCCGCGGUAA
rnacentral:rRNA from 1 species